GCUGAAACUUCCGCAAUGCUCGCCAGAGUGACGGAGGGAUUCCAAGUGCCUAUGCUAUGCGUAGGCUGUUUCCAUGUCUAAAUAACACGGAGAGUAAGAGCUGGGUAAGACGGGUGCCAGCCGCCGCGGUAAUACCUGCGGCUCAAGUGGUAACCAUUAUUAUUGGGCCUAAAGCGUCCGUAGCCGGUUUGGUAAAUAUCUGGGUAAAUCGUGAGGCUUAACUUCACGAAUUUCGGAUAGACUACCAGACUUGGGAUCGGGGGAGGUCAGAGGUACUCCAGGGGUAGCGGUGAAAUGUUGUAAUCCUUGGAGGACCACCGGUAGCGAAGGCGUCUGACUAGAACGAGUCCGACGGUGAGGGACGAAGCCCUGGGGCGCAAACCGGAUUAGAUACCCGGGUAGUCCAGGGUGUAAACGAUGUGGGCUGUGUAUUGGGGGUCCCACGUGGGCGUCCAGUGCAGAAGAGAAGUUGUUAAGCCCACCGCCUGGGAAGUACGGUCGCAAGGCUGAAACUUAAAGGAAUUGGCGGGGGAGCAC
rnacentral:rRNA from 1 species